UGCUUGUUGGAUUUAAGCAUUCGCAGGUGAUAUGUAUUUGUGUAAUGAGGGAGGGUGUGGCCUAAAGUGAUUAACACCCAAAAUCAAGGUGUGCAUAAUUAUUAGGCAGCUUCUUUACCUCAGGAAAAAAUGG